GUGAUGGUGGCCCUGGGGACAGGGUGACAUCACACAAUGGGUGGAGAGGACCUCGGUGCCACUGUGGUCUCACAAGAGGCCAGGGUGCUGCAGUGUGGAGGGGGUAGGCACUAAGCUGCUCUCAGGAUCACAAGGGAAAACCUGAUGUCAUCUACAGGGUUGGUCCCUUCUGACCCUCACACUCCUGUGUCAGAGUCAGAAGAAGUUCUGCGCUCAGCUCUCCCUAGACUCCUCUUGUGAAGGAGGGAAUAAAGGACAUGAGGACACAGGUGACGUGUUCCACUGGUGAAAACAUGUUCUCAGCUCCCCACCUGGAUCUGUCACCUCUGGGAAGACGCGAAAAUGACAGCCUGCAGAGAGAUGAGCUCAGACGUCCUUCCCUUAAAACUGCAGGUUCCUCUCAGGUGCACAGAGUCCCCUGCACACGUCUGCCUGGCAGAGACAGAGUUGAUCAUUCAUUAAAGAACUGCAGGAAGCCCCCUAGAUCACAUUUAUGAGGACCUGCAUAACAAGAAACAUUUCUGAGAUUAACAUCUCAAAGGAUAUGAUUACAUUCCCAAUCCACUUCCACGUUUGGUCCUGUGGGAGCUGAGCAGUGGGAUGCAGUAUCUAACCACAACCGGCAGGUGUGCUGCUGGAAACAGAGUGGCUCCCAGGAGAGGGAGAGAGGGGCUGCAGUAACCCAGGUUAAGAGCGUGCACUGGGAUUGAUCCACACUGAUCCACAAGGGGGUACUGUGGUCGAGAAUCAUAAAGGUAUUUAUAUUUGUGAUAACUUUUCUUACUUUUUCCUCAUUCUCUAAAUGCUUUUUCACUCUUCCCACAAAAAGAUGGGUACAAACAAUAUACUUUUUAAUUUUAUUGCCAUAAGAAAUGCCUUUUUCUUGGAAGUCAGCAUUGGGAUCACAGCCAAUGCCUUCCUUCUUCUCUUCCACGUCCUCUGGUUCUUUCUCAAGCACAGGCCCAGGCCCACUGACAUGACCAUUGGGCACCUGGCCCUCAUCCACCUGGUGAUGCUCAUCAUUGUAGGGGUCAUAGCUGCAGACAUCUAUGCGACUCAGGAGUUAUGGGACAACUUCACUUGUAAAGCUGUCAUCUACUUGCACCAGAUGUUGGUGGGCAAUGGCUAUGCCACCAUUGGACCUCUGGUGCUCAUCAGUACUGAAAAACGAAUGAUCCAGCUUUUCAAAUCCAUGUGGGAGAAGGAAAGUAAGCGUUUACUUGUUCAGGAAUAAACAACAUGUCUCUUCAUGAGCA
rnacentral:lncRNA from 1 species